rnacentral:tRNA from 2 species
GCUGAGGUAGCUAAGCCCGGUUCAAGGCGCCGGCCUUGAGAGCCGGUGUCGCUCUGCGACUCGGGAGUUCAAAUCUCCCCCUCAGCGCCA